rnacentral:rRNA from 1 species
GACGAACGCUGGCGGCGUGCCUAAUACAUGCAAGUCGAGCGGACUUAAAAAGCUUGCUUUUUAAGUUAGCGGCGGACGGGUGAGUAACACGCGGGCAACCUGCCUGUAAGACUGGGAUAACUUCGGGGAACCGGAGCUAAUACCGGAUAAUCCUUUUCUUCCCACGUAGUAAAGCUGAAAGACGGUUUACGCUGUCACUUACAGAUGGGCCCUCGUCGCAUGAGCUAGGUGGUGAGGUAACGGCCUACCAAGGCGACGAUGCGUAGCCGACCUGAGAGCGUGAUCGACAACACUCGGGCUGAAACAGGGACCUGACUCCUACGGGAGGCAGCAGUAGGGAAUCUCCCGCAAUGGUCGAAAAUCUGACGCAACAACGCCACGUCAGUGGUAAAGGUGUUCGGAUCGGAAAACUCUGUUGUUAGUGAAGAACAUGUCCGGGAGUAACUGCUCGUACCUUGACGGUAAUUAACCAGAAAGCCACGGCUAACUACGUG